AUGUUCCUGCAAAGAGAAAAAUAAGGAAAAUUCUGCAAAACAUGGAAGACUCAUGACCCACUUUAAAAACAUACCUGGAUACAUCACAUGAACUCAAGACCAUGACUAUGGAGGAAGAUUUAACACUUGGCAACUCUUACAACAACAACAACAGCAACAGGGAACAACAACAACAACAACAACAACAACCAAAGAGUGCAAAAAGAACUAAUGCAUUCUCUAGGUAUGCCUGGAUGGAGCCUCUAAGACCUAACAGGAUGUCUGAGAUUCCAGGGAAGUGGCCUGUGAUCUGUCAGUAAACAAAUAAGAAGCUAAUACAGCUUUGUUGUGUUUUCUGAUUGGCAUGGUUCUGAACUAUCUCCUACUUGUAGUUGCAGACAAAGAAACAGGAGAUGAAUUACCAUGUUCUAGGACUUUGUGUUCCUUUCCAAUUCAAACUGCAAUAAGAAAUAAAAAUGGUUAGGCUUCCAGUGUGUAGAUUAUAU